CUUGUUUCCUGAUGUCUGUUCACUGAGGACAAAUCUACAUUUCUCUAUGCUGAGAUCUGCCCAUAGAAAAUUACAUUCUAGGAUCAAGAAUCACAAAGGACCUUUCCUUUUAGACUUUCCUUUAAGAGGUACACAACAUAAUGAGCAAAAUGGAAUGAAGUGUAUUAACCUUUGGAAGAUGAAAGAAUAUCAGCAAUUAGCUUUUCCAGCUAAUUACUGGAUUCUACAACUGACUCUUCAAAAAGCUAUGAGGUUUAAGGCCUUUAUGUCAAGCUCUGGGUAAAGAGUUCCACAUGCCAAGAGGAGAAGCACCGUAUUCAGUUCAGGUCACUGUUUCUUCUCUUCAGCAAGGGAAAUGGAUCUGCAGCUCAUCUCUGGCUGUAGGUGAACAUUUAUAUCUGUUUGAAAUGCUCCUUCCCCGCAAAGAUGCUGGAUACCCACCUCCACGACUGGAAUACUUGCUGCAAGACCUCCAUAACUUAAUGCUGUGCAUGACUACCUUAAAGCACUCUGGGAAGAGAAAGGCUGCUCAC
rnacentral:lncRNA from 14 species